rnacentral:rRNA from 1 species
GAAUCCCGUCUUUGGCAUGGAUGACCGGGGCUUUUGUGAUGCGCUCUCGAAGAGUCGAGUUGUUUGGGAAUGCAGCUCAAAAUGGGUGGUGAACUCCAUCUAAAGCUAAAUAUUGGCGAGAGACCGAUAGCGAACAAGUACCGUGAGGGAAAGAUGAAAAGCACUUUGGAAAGAGAGUGAAACAGUACGUGAAAUUGUUGAAAGGGAAACGCUUGAAGUCAGUCGCGUCGGCCGAGACUCAGCCUUGCCUCGGCUUGGUGUACUUCUUGACCGACGGGUCAGCAUCAAUUUUGCCCCUUGGAUAAUGGCGAGGGAAAUGUGACACCUUUAUAGGUGUGUUAUAGUCUCUCGUCGCAUGCAAGGGUCGGGAUUGAGGAACUCAGCACGCGCCUUCGGGCGUCGGGGCCUUGCCCACGAUACGUGCUUAGGAUGUUGGCGUAAUGGCUUUAAACGACCCGUCUUGAAACACGGACCAAGGAGUCUAACAUGCCCGCGAGUGUUCGGGUGGAAAACCCGUGCGCGUAAUGAAAGUAAAAGUUGGGACCCCUGUCGUGGGGGGCACCGACGCCCGGACCAGACCUUCUGUGACGGAUCUGCGGUAGAGCGUGCAUGUUGGGACCCGAAAGAUGGUGAACUAUGCCUGAAUAGGGUGAAGCCAGAGGAAACUCUGGUGGAGGCUCGUAGCGAUUCUGACGUGCAAAUCGAUCGUCAAAUUUGGGUAUAGGGGCGAAAGACUAAUCGAACCAUCUAGUAGCUGGUUCCUGCC